rnacentral:rRNA from 1 species
GACGAACGCUGGAGGCGUGCUUAACACAUGCAAGUCGAACGAUGAAGUGGAGCUUGCUCCACGGAUUAGUGGCGAACGGGUGAGUAACACGUGAAUAACCUGCCCUCAAUUUCGGAAUAACCCAGGGAAACCUGGGCUAAUACCGGAUAAGUAAACCUGUGGCAUCACAUGGUUUUGGAAAGUUUUUCGAUUGAGGAUGGAUUCGCGGCCUAUCAGCUUGUUGGUGAGGUAAUGGCUCACCAAGGCGACGACGGGUAGCCGGCCUGAGAGGGUGAACGGCCACACUGGGACUGAGACACGGCCCAGACUCCUACGGGAGGCAGCAGUGGGGAAUAUUGCGCAAUGGACGAAAGUCUGACGCAGCGACGCCUCGUGAGGGACGAAGGUCUUCGGAUUGUAAAACCUCUUUCAGCAGGGACGAAGCGAAAGUGACGGUACCUGCAGAAGAAGCACCGGCUAACUAUGU